AUGUUAAGGAUGACAUUAAGGUGGUGUCCAGUUUGCAGGAGUCAAGAGAGGGUGGAUCUGAGUUGCGAGAGGGUCUCUCUCCUCAACCCUUUGGGCCUCAUCUCACACACUCCUGUGGGGGACAGCCUGCCCCAGAGGAGACCCUCACUGGACCCUGCUGCAGUCCUGAGCCAGUGUUCCCAGGACAGCAUAUGUUUGAUCCACAACACUCUGCUUCAAAAUGAGAGUGACCCCUGCAGGCCCAGUCUAGCUUUGCAAGGGCCCACCGAUCUGUCAAGGCCUGGGACUCCCCACCGUGGGCAAAAGCCUUUUCAGAAACAUCCAUCAGCUCAGUCUGGCUGCUCCUUUACUGCUCCCUCUGGACCACAGGCACAGAAACCUGCUGUGCUGGUAAGAGCUGUUGCCAGGAUGGUGCAGAGUGCCAAGCCAAUGGCUGUUGCCAGGGGGAUGCCCAUUGCUGCAAGGCAGCCAAAAGGUGCCAAGUCUAAGAUAUCUGCCAAAACUCCACCAGCGCCAGGGAUGCUGGGAAGAAAUGUGGGUCAGAAGGUCAAGGUGCAGCCCCAAACUCCUCCAGCUACUCAAAAACAUCCCGCAAAGCCACUAAACAUGACAAACAACAAAGAGUGUGAGGAGGAGGAGUUCUACAUGGAGAGGCUGCAGGAGCAGAUGCGACUGAGGGAGCAGGUUAUCAAACAGAAGGAACGGAUGAGAUCUAGACGGGCUGUAAACAAGAAGCAUCUGCGGCAGGAGCACUUCCAAACUGAUAGUUCCACCGUACACUGGAACAAAAACCAAAAAUCAACAGAAACAGCCGUGCAUCUUGGGUUCCUGCCCUCAAAAGGUUACGCACCUGCAGCCCUUCCAUAA
rnacentral:lncRNA from 1 species